UACGAAGGGGGCUAGCGUUGUUCGGAUUUACUGGGCGUAAAGCGCACGUAGGCGGAUCGAUCAGUCAGGGGUGAAAUCCCAGAGCUCAACUCUGGAACUGCCUUUGAUACUGUCGAUCUGGAGUAUGGAAGAGGUGAGUGGAAUUCCGAGUGUAGAGGUGAAAUUCGUAGAUAUUCGGAGGAACACCAGUGGCGAAGGCGGCUCACUGGACCAUAACUGACGCUGAGGCGCGAAAGCUAGGGGAGCAAACAGG
rnacentral:rRNA from 1 species